UGGGGAGAUCAGUGCACACACCACGAAGGUGUGAUGCAAAGAGCCCACGAUCCUCAAGUUGCUUCUGCCUUUUAACCCCUUUCUCUGGCUCUGGUGGAAUGUCUCUCUGCAGCAAUGGAAUUGUUUGCGCCACCUUAUCUCGCUGUGAGUGAGAAUGUUUGCUUUCUCACUUCUGCAUCGUCAUGUCUUGUUAUCCAAAGGAAGGAACACCGAGCUUCCAAGACAAGAUGCAUUUGCUUUAACAGCCUUGGGUCUGGUGGGGAGUCAGAUGGGAUGGAGCCAGAGUCCGGGUGUAAAAGACAAACAUAUAUCAGAAAUUAUUAGUCAGUCAAAUGGAGCAUCAGAUGUUUAGACUUGAUGUACGUCAGGGCACAAGAGAUUAUUUGUUUGUGUAAGAAUGUUCAGUAUUGCACCUAACCAGCACAUGACGAGUGUGUUGGAUAAGAAACAGCACAAGGCAAAAUUUUUCCAUUACAUGGGCUCCGGUGGCUUCUUCCAGCUUCUACCCUCCUGGACACUCCAGGUGAACCUGGUUAGUAGGAUCAGGGAACAGUGUAUCUGCCAGAGGCAAACCAGACUCUCCACUGGUUUCAUUGAACUGUGUGAAUCAAGUUGACAGGUUGAGGAUAUUUGGAGUAGAGAUGAAGAUGCUGGUGGCCUUGCUGCUGUUGGGCUGCUCUGUGGCUCAAGGCACCAUUUUGUCAAAAUGUGAGGUUUGGGAUCAGCUGCUGAGGGUCCUGGACAACAACCCCAGAAACAUGCGCUUCUUGGCUUCACUUUUCUGUCAGGCAGAGAAGUCAGGAUUUAACACUAGCAGCGUGAUUGUCAGAAGUUCCAAACUGGAGGCUCUCACCAGGGUCCGACGGACUAAUUCUGGGUCAUACACCUCAAGGCUUGUGCGAGCAAGUGGAUCGGGCGUGGCCUCCCUGCAAGUUGCCCCAGCCUCUUUGUGGAGCGAUCUGCAGAGUGCGAUAGCGGCAGUGGCCUCUCUGUUGGUCUC